CCCCUGAUAGCUCAGUUGGCAGAGCGUAGGACGUUCGUGCACCCCUGAUGAAUAAAAUCUCUGUCACCAAACUAACAUUCAAACAGUGUAAUUGUUAAAUAUAUCCUCAGGUCGCCGGUUCAAAUCCGGCUCGGGGGA